rnacentral:rRNA from 1 species
GGAGGAAAGCAGGGGAUCGCAAGACCUUGCGCUUUUGGAGCGGCCGAUGUCUGAUUAGCUAGUUGGUGAGGUAAAGGCUUACCAAGGCGUCGAUCAGUAGCUGGUCUGAGAGGACGACCAGCCACACUGGGACUGAGACACGGCCCAGACUCCUACGGGAGGCAGCAGUGGGGAAUUUUGGACAAUGGGGGAAACCCUGAUCCAGCCAUGCCGCGUGAGUGAAGAAGGCCUUCGGGUUGUAAAGCUCUUUCAGCCGGAACGAAACGGUCACGGCUAAUACCUGUGAUCACUGACGGUACCGGAAGAAGAAGCACCGGCUAACUACGUGCCAGCAGCCGCGGUAAUACGUAGGGUGCAAGCGUUAAUCGGAAUUACUGGGCGUAAAGCGUGCGCAGGCGGUUUUGUAAGUCAGAUGUGAAAUCCCCGGGCUUAACCUGGGAACUGCGUUUGAAACUACAAGGCUAG